UACGUAGGGUGCAAGCGUUGUCCGGAAUUAUUGGGCGUAAAGAGCUCGUAGGCGGUUUGUCGCGUCGAAUGUGAAACCCGGGGCUCAACUCCGGGCCUGCAUUCGAUACGGGCAGACUAGAGUUCGGUAGGGGAGACUGGAAUUCCUGGUGUAGCGGUGAAAUGCGCAGAUAUCAGGAGGAACACCGGUGGCGAAGGCGGGUCUCUGGGCCGAUACUGACGCUGAGGAGCGAAAGCGUGGGGAGCGAACAGG
rnacentral:rRNA from 1 species